GACGAACGCUGGCGGCGUGCUUAACACAUGCCAGUCGAACGGAAAGGCCCUGCUUUUGUGGGGUGCUCGAGUGGCGAACGGGUGAGUAGCACGUGAGUAACCUGCCCUUGACUUUGGGAUAACUUCAGGAAACUGGGGCUAAUACCGGAUAGGAGCUCCUGCUGCAUGGUGGGGGUUGGAAAGUUUCGGCGGUUGGGGAUGGACUCGCGGCUUAUCAGCUUGUUGGUGGGGUAGUGGCUUACCAAGGCUUUGACGGGUAGCCGGCCUGAGAGGGUGACCGGCCACAUUGGGACUGAGAUACGGCCCAGACUCCUACGGGAGGCAGCAGUGGGGAAUAUUGAACAAUGGGCGGAAGCCUGAUGCAGCAACGCCGCGUGCGGGAUGACGGCCUUCGGGUUGUAAACCGCUUUCGCCUGUGACGAAGCGUGAGUGACGGUAAUGGGUAAAGAAGCACCGGCUAACUACGUG
rnacentral:rRNA from 1 species